rnacentral:rRNA from 1 species
UCCGUAGGCGGUGUGGCAAGUCGGGAGUGAAAUCUCUGGGCUUAACCCAGAGGCUGCUUCCGAAACUGCCAUGCUAGAGUGUGAGAGAGGCGAGUGGAAUUACGGGUGUAGCGGUGAAAUGCGUAGAUAUCCGUAGGAACAUCCGAGGCGAAGGCGGCUCGCUGGAUCACAACUGACGCUGAGGGACGAAAGCUAGGGGAGACAAACA